rnacentral:guide_RNA from 1 species
ACAACAUCAAUAUUAUCUGAAACUGUAGUUAGAUUGUGUAAA